rnacentral:lncRNA from 1 species
UUGUGUCAUUAGAACAUUUUUAAUCAAAGAAAGUACACUUCAUUUGCAAGAUUCAUUGAUUACAUUGUCCAACAUACAUUGCAUUGAAAAAUUAUAAAGAAAAUGCAUAAUUUUUGCAUAAGUUGACUUUUGGUCAACUAUUGACUUUUUGAUUAACCAGUUGACCAAAGUCAGCUCAUCAUUUCAAAAUCCCUAAGUCCUAAUUUCCUUGGUCUUCAAGUUAGGAUCACCUUCGCAUUAUCCAUCACCUACAAAAAUUACAAAAUCCAAAAACCACUUGUCAUUUAAGGCAUGUCAUGAUUUAAACCAUGUUCAUAACCUAAACCACAUACAUGUCAAUACCAUAGCAUAUUCUAAACCAAAUGACCAAGACAUGGACCUAACAUCCAUACAAAUGGAACAUUGCAUUUCAAAACCAUUAACAUGUCAAUACCAAAACCAACAGAUCAAUUUAACCUAAACCAUUUCAAACCAACUUAGGCAAAACCAAACAUUACAAGCAUCACAUUAGCAUGAAACACAUUACCAUUUUAAACCUAGCCUAACUACGAUGUUGCAUAAUCCAAGCAACCAUAACCUAAAACAGCCCUACAACAAAUGCAAACAUACCUCACAAUAGUCACACAUACAUGAGCAUCACAAUACUUUCAUGCAUCAACCAUCAAACAUCAAACCUAGCAUCCACAUCGAGCAUGCCAACAUUCACCUCCUGCUGCAGCCAAUCAUGUCUUAACCCUACAAUAACUGUUUCACAGCAGCAUGAGCAACAAGCCAUUGCAUUAAUAUAAUAAUCCUGCAUCAAUGAGCAAAAUCAGCAAGUCAGGGCAGGGCAAUAAUCAAGGAAGAACCAUUCAUCAAAAACAAAUCGAGCAAGCCAUCAUGUAGCAUGAACAAAUAUUCUUGUAACCAUUUCAACAUCAAUAAUCAAGCUAACCAUCAUGCAAUAAUUCACAUCAGCAUGGCCAUGUACAAACUCGAACAAUAACAAAAUCUUUGACAACAUGGCAGACCAACAACAAUCAAGCAUCAACAGACCUAUAACUAUACAUCAUUCAAAAUCUAGCAUCAACUUAACAUAAUAACAUCAAUUGACUUUUUUCAAUUAACAUCACAUUAAAAUUCAGUUUAACAAUUAACUCCAACUGACUUUUUCACUUAACAUCACAUUUAACAAAUGAUUAAACUAACUCAGACUGCAAGUAACUAAUUAGUUUUCACAUUUAACAGAGAAAUUGAAAACUGAGAUUUACAUUAACCGAGUCUAACUCAUUCCAUUUUAGCUGAAACUAACUGAGAUUUUUCACUGUAACUAACUAACUCAUUUUUAACUGCUGAAGCUAACUGAAUCUAACUAACAGUUAACUCCAUGAUCACAUCCAACAAGUUUCUCCAUCAAUCAAUUAACACCGCUGAAUUGCUCUGUUAAUCUACACACUAUAAAUUCACAUCUUCAUCGUUUUCACCUUAUUCAUUCACCAUUCAUUAAAUUCAUGAUUCAUCAAAAUUCUAAAUCAUUCAUUUCAUCAUUUCACUCCAAAAAAAUUCACUCUCUAUAACCUCUCAUUCACACAAAGCUCAUUUGAAAUACUCCAUUAAAGCUUCACAUUGAAGCUUCAAUGGAGUAGAGCUCAACCUCUCAUUCAUUCACGAUUCACCAAUUCAUCAUCACUCUAUAACAAAUUCAUCUCUCUACAUCUUCUGUUUCACACGAACCACAUCUCAAAGCAUAAUCUCAAGAACACGUUUCAGAAGAAGAAGAAGGAUCUUUAGAAGAGGAAGAAUUAGAAGAAAGAUAGGAGCAAGAAUUACCUGGUUUAAGUGAUUCCUCAACGUAAGCUUUAUCUUCUCUGAUUCAACAACUCGUUGAAGUAAUUCUCAGCAUCGGAGGUAUGUUUUCUUCAUUAUUUCAUUGCAUACGAGUUACCUGAAUGUAGAAGAAGGUUAGAGGAAUCAAAGCCCUAACCUCUAGGGCUUUGAUUCUGAGAGAGUAGGAUUUAAUUUGGGUUCUUUGUCAUUUGGCUUUGAUUCAUAUUAUUGAUGAGGAAUUAGGUUGCUUCACUGUAAUUUUGGGAUUCAUAGCAAAAAGGUGAAGAAGGUGAUGUAAAUGUUUUGGACAUUGAGGAAUUAUGAGCUUAGGUGGAGAGAGU